GCUGAUUAGAAUCAUUUAAUGAAGUUCUGCAUGGAUUUUUCUGCUGGAGUGUUUCCUGAGUUUCAUAAAAGACAUUACUUGGACUGCUGGUCUGCACCUUCGAAGAAGACGCAGAUACAGAAAAUUGUGGUGAACAAAUAGUUGGUAGAGUGUCAGUACAUUCUACAAUUUCCUUCAUCGCCACCUUAGAAUGCUUUUGCAUUUUCAACUUAGUGAAUAUAUGCAUGUUGGUUUGCUUUUCAGGAGAACAAUGCUUAUACUGCUUCUCAGUCCCAGUGUUCCCCAGCCCUGGAGUUCCAAGUUGUUGGCUUCUUGGCAAAUGCAGACUUGGACUUCCAUCAAUUGCUUUUCUUGAAGAAUUGCCCUUAUUGUCAUGACUUUUUGACUCCGAAUGAACACUUUUGGUUCUUCUACAAGCUUUUUGUACUGACUUUGCCUUGUCCAUCAUUUUCCAUGCCUUGUCGAUAUCAUGAGAAUGUCUAUCUUGCACUAAGAUGCCAGGUAAGCUAUCUUUGGUUGUCAGUUCAUGAGCAGUUAUGGAAGACAAGGAUUGUGCUAUGCCUGAAUUGUCAUGUGAUAGUGCAAGAGUAUUACAUUUUCCGAUACUAGAUUCCCUUGGACCAGAAGAGAAUCUCAAGGACCCACUUCG
rnacentral:misc_RNA from 1 species